UUCAAAUCCUGGAGUUACUCCUUGUCAACAACAAUAAGGAGUAACUCUGAGAUUUGAACC
rnacentral:pre_miRNA from 1 species